ACAUAGCUGAAGAGUCCCACAAUGGGACGAAACGGCUGUCCAGUGC
rnacentral:hammerhead_ribozyme from 1 species